GGUGAAAGGCCAAUCAAACUCGGAGAUAGCUGGUUCUCCGCGAAAUCUAUUUAGGUAGAGCGUCUCGUAUUACCCUCGGGGGUAGAGCACUGGAUGGGCUAGGGGGUCCCAACGACUUACCAAACCUAACCAAACUCCGAAUACCGAGGAGUAGAGCGAGGCAGACACACUGCGGGUGCUAAGGUCCGUAGUGGAGAGGGAAACAGCCCUGACCGCCAGCUAAGGUCCCUAAGUUAUCACUAAGUGGGAAACGAUGUGGGAGUGCUUAGACAACCAGGAGGUUGGCUUAGAAGCAGCCACCCUUUAAAGAAAGCGUAAUAGCUCACUAGUCGAGUCGGCCUGCGCGGAAGAUGUAACGGGGCUCAAACUGGUCACCGAAGCUUCGGCUUC
rnacentral:rRNA from 1 species